rnacentral:rRNA from 1 species
GUAUGUGUGUUAGUGGAAGCGUCUGGAAAGGCGCGCGAUACAGGGUGACAGCCCCGUACACAAAAAUGCACAUGCUGUGAGCUCGAUGAGUAGGGCGGGACACGUGGUAUCCUGUCUGAAUAUGGGGGGACCAUCCUCCAAGGCUAAAUACUCCUGACUGACCGAUAGUGAACCAGUACCGUGAGGGAAAGGCGAAAAGAACCCCGGCGAGGGGAGUGAAAAAGAACCUGAAACCGUGUACGUACAAGCAGUGGGAGCACGCUUAGGCGUGUGACUGCGUACCUUUUGUAUAAUGGGUCAGCGACUUAUAUUCUGUAGCAAGGUUAACCGAAUAGGGGAGCCGAAGGGAAACCGAGUCUUAACUGGGCGUUAAGUUGCAGGGUAUAGACCCGAAACCCGGUGAUCUAGCCAUGGGCAGGUUGAAGGUUGGGUAACACUAACUGGAGGACCGAACCGACUAAUGUUGAAAAAUUAGCGGAUGACUUGUGGCUGGGGGUGAAAGGCCAAUCAAACCGGGAGAUAGCUGGUUCUCCCCGAAAGCUAUUUAGGUAGCGCCUCGUGAAUUCAUCUCCGGGGGUAGAGCACUGUUUCGGCAAGGGGGUCAUCCCGACUUACCAACCCGAUGCAAACUGCGAAUACCGGAGAAUGUUAUCACGGGAGACACACGGCGGGUGCUAACGUCCGUCGUGAAGAGGGAAACAACCCAGACCGCCAGCUAAGGUCCCAAAGUCAUGGUUAAGUGGGAAACGAUGUGGGAAGGCCCAGACAGCCAGGAUGUUGGCUUAGAAGCAGCCAUCAUUUAAAGAAAGCGUAAUAGCUCACUGGUCGAGUCGGCCUGCGCGGAAGAUGUAACGGGGCUAAACCAUGCACCGAAGCUGCGGCAGCGACGCUGAUGCGUUGUUGGGUAGGGGAGCGUUCUGUAAGCCUGCGAAGGUGUGCUGUGAGGCAUGCUGGAGGUAUCAGAAGUGCGAAUGCUGACAUAAGUAACGAUAAAGCGGGUGAAAAGCCCGCUCGCCGGAAGACCAAGGGUUCCUGUCCAACGUUAAUCGGGGCAGGGUGAGUCGACCCCUAAGGCGAGGCCGAAAGGCGUAGUCGAUGGGAAACAGGUUAAUAUUCCUGUACUUGGUGUUACUGCGAAGGGGGGACGGAGAAGGCUAUGUUGGCCGGGCGACGGUUGUCCCGGUUUAAGCGUGUAGGCUGGUUUUCCAGGCAAAUCCGGAAAAUCAAGGCUGAGGCGUGAUGACGAGGCACUGCGGUGCUGAAGCAACAAAUGCCCUGCUUCCAGGAAAAGCCUCUAAGCAUCAGGUAACAUCAAAUCGUACCCCAAACCGACACAGGUGGUCAGGUAGAGAAUACCAAGGCGCUUGAGAGAACUCGGGUGAAGGAACUAGGCAAAAUGGUGCCGUAACUUCGGGAGAAGGCAC